UAUUGGUCAAUAGCCUAACCGGCUGAACCAGCAACUUGGAGGAAUGGAUAGGGAAAGCCGGUAAAAGGCAAUGUACCUAGUAGUAUUAGAAAUAAAUAUGAGAUUAACGAAGUUAAUUAAAAUUCGAAGUAGAUAAAUGAUUAUGACAAUAUCUGCUGAUGUCUUGACCAAGUCACGUGCCAGCAGUCGCGGUAAUACGGAAGAUAAGCGUUAUUCAUCUUUAAUAGGUUUAAAGGGUACCUAGACGGUUAAUUAAGCAAGAGAUUGUACUAAUUCUAAACUAGAGUUUAAUAUAGGAAGGGUCAGUACGAUGCGGAGUAGAGAUAAAAUUCUUUGAUACUCAUGGGGACUGGUAAAGGCGAAGGCAACCUUUUAUGUAAAAACUGACGUUGAAGGACGAAGGA
rnacentral:rRNA from 1 species